AUUCAGAAAGCCCAGAUGAAGCUGACUGAGGGCACUGAUGGCCAAACCAGAGCAGACCUGACUCAGGCCAUGUGCCAACAGCUGAACAUCUAGUGGGGCCUGGACUUCUGACCUCCAGUGCUCUGAGUCUGCCUAGGUGCUACAGUCUGUGCAUGAGCUGGGCCUCGCCAACAGCCACAGGUGGCAGAUCUCCGGCGAGUCAUGUCACUUGUCUCAGAUUUAUCAAGCUGGAAACAUGACUGAGAGGAGACUUGAGCUAUGUCAACCAAAUCCAUCCCUCUGAGCAAAAGGAGCAGAGACACACGCGUUGCUCUAAGCCUCAGUCUUACCUGAGGAGGAGCCACUCAGACCUUGUUGCCCUUCCUUCUGAAGAGGGGAGGUCGAGGCCGUCAGGACCUGAAAGGAGAUGAGCAGCUCAGAGUGACCGGAACUCAACCUAAGGCCGCUGGGCAGCCAGAACAGUCCCACAGGUGAAGAGCUGUCAUGCACGGUCCAGCCCAAGCCCUUUCCUGAUGAGCCGGGUCAGGGCAGGUGACUCAGGUGAGCUCUCAGGACCCCCUGCUCCAGCCAGGGCUCUCUCAGCUGGAAAAGGAGGGCCCUGUGUGGCAGUUCCUGGGCUGAGAAAACCAUGUGUCAAAGUUGUGGCUCAAUCCUUCACUCUAUUUUUACCCUCCUGACACUACCUCUUUGAGUCCUGAGGAGGGGCCCUGGCCUGAGGCGGCCUGAGCCGGCGUCUCUGAGGCACAUGUGGCCAGCCUUGGCCUCCUCCAGAAACCACCCCAAAGCUGCCUUUGUACUUGUCUUGACCAGAAAUAAAUGCAUCACAUAAAUGUUCUCAGGCAAUCUUGAGGGAUGUGAACAUAAACUUAUCCCACAAAAUGCUUUUGUUUCCUUUCCUCAGUUCAAAGUCAUGU
ensembl:lncRNA